UACGGAGGGUGCAAGCGUUAUCCGGAUUCACUGGGUUUAAAGGGUGUGUAGGCGGGCAGUUAAGUCAGUGGUGAAAUCUCCAGGCUCAACCUGGAAACUGCCAUUGAUACUAUCUGUCUUGAAUAUCGUUGAGGUGGGCAGAAUAUGUCAUGUAGCGGUGAAAUGCAUAGAUAUGACAUAGAAUACCGAUUGCGAAGGCAGCUCACUAAGCGUGUAUUGACGCUGAGGCACGAAAGCGUGGGGAUCAAACAGG
rnacentral:rRNA from 1 species